rnacentral:sRNA from 1 species
CGCGUCUGCCCGCGCUCCAGCUGCGCCUGGCCCGGCCCCGGCCCGGCUCGGCGUGGCCCCAGCCUCCAAGCGAAGGCGCCGCUGCCGCUGGGCCGCUCCCAGGGCCAUGAGGAAGCGGCGGCAGCCACUGCGGCCCGCGUCAAGGUGACCGGCCGGGACUGCGGCGGCGGGGAGAGCGGCGGACUUCUCCAGACAGGUUAUGUUACCUGCAGAGGCUGCCCUGAAGCUCCCUGUGGCCUGGAGACUAUGUACAAGAGGAAUGGUCUGAUGGCUAGCGUGUUGGUCACCUCUGCCACUCCACAGGGCAGCAGCAGCUCGGACUCUCUGGAGGGCCAGAGCUGCGACUAUGCCAGCAAGAGCUAUGAUGCCGUUGUCUUCGAUGUCUUGAAAGUGACCCCAGAGGAGUUUGCUAGCCAGAUUACAUUAAUGGAUAUACCUGUGUUUAAAGCUAUCCAGCCGGAGGAGUGAGGCAUGGAGGUGGGGACAGACUUCCAGCGAUGGAGAUAUAAACAACCUAGGUCAGUCAUACGCAGUGUCAUCAUCUGUUCAGUCUUCCUACUUGUCCUGGGCUGACCUUGCCCUCUGGUUCUUAGCUUCCUGCCUUGGCUCCAACCUCACUCCAGCCCUUAUUGAUGGGGCUUCAUGGUUUGUCUUUGGUUCUCCUACCUUGACCCCACCUUUUCAAGAAGUACACCUUAUAUUUCAAUGUCACGUCUUUUUACAUCAGUUAGAGCUGUGUUGUCUUAAUAUGGUGGCUGCAUGUG